AGAGUUUGAUCCUGGCUCAGAUUGAACGCUGGCGGCAUGCCUAACACAUGCAAGUCGAACGCGAAAGUCGUCUUCGGGCGGCGAGUAGAGUGGCGGACGGGUGAGUAAGGCGUAGGAAUCCACCUUGCAGCGGGGGACAACCCUGGGAAACCAGGGCUAAUACCGCAUGACCUCUACGGAGGAAAGCCGGGGACCUUUUCGGAGGCCUGGCACUGCGAGACGAGCCUACGUCCGAUUAGCUUGUUGGUGGGGUAAAGGCCCACCAAGGCGACGAUCGGUAGCUGGUCUGAGAGGAUGAUCAGCCACACUGGGACUGAGACACGGCCCAGACUCCUACGGGAGGCAGCAGUGGGGAAUAUUGGACAAUGGGGGCAACCCUGAUCCAGCAAUGCCGCGUGUGUGAAGAAGGCCUGCGGGUUGUAAAGCACUUUCAGCAGGGGAGAAAGGCCCUUGAUUAAGAGUUGGGGGUUUUGACGUUACCUGCAGAAGAAGCACCGGCUAACUCCGUGCCAGCAGCCGCGGUAAUACGGAGGGUGCAAGCGUUAUCCGGAUUUAUUGGGUUUAAAGGGUGCGCAGGCGGAUCUGUCAGUCAGUGGUGAAAUCCCGGGGCUCAACCUCGGAACUGCCAUUGAUACUGCAGGUCUUGAGUUUGGUUGAAGUGGGCGGAAUGUAGCAUGUAGCGGUGAAAUGCAUAGAUAUGCUACAGAACACCGAUCGCGAAGGCAGCUCACUAAACCAACACUGACGCUCAGGCACGAAAGCGUGGGUAGCGAACAGGAUUAGAUACCCUGGUAGUCCACGCCGUAAACGAUGAUUACUCGUUGUUGGCGAUACACAGUCAGUGACUAAGCGAAAGCGAUAAGUAAUCCACCUGGGGAGUACGUUCGCAAGAAUGAAACUCAAAGGAAUUGACGGGGGCCCGCACAAGCGGUGGAGCAUGUGGUUUAAUUCGAUGAUACGCGAGGAACCUUACCUGGGCUCAAAUGUAAGUUGACGUAUGGUGAAAGCCAUAUUUCUUCGGACAAUUUACAAGGUGCUGCAUGGUUGUCGUCAGCUCGUGCCGUGAGGUGUCGGGUUAAGUCCCAUAACGAGCGCAACCCCUAUCAUUAGUUGCCAUCAGGUAAAGCUGGGGACUCUAAUGAAACUGCCUACGCAAGUAGAGAGGAAGGUGGGGAUGACGUCAAAUCAGCACGGCCCUUACGUCCAGGGCUACACACGUGCUACAAUGGCCGGUACAGAGGGCAGCCACCUGGUGACAGGGAGCGAAUCUCGAAAGCCGGUCUCAGUUCGGAUCGAAGUCUGCAACCCGACUUCGUGAAGCUGGAAUCGCUAGUAAUCGCGCAUCAGCCAUGGCGCGGUGAAUACGUUCCCGGGCCUUGUACACACCGCCCGUCAAGCCAUGGAAGCUGGGGGUACCUGAAGUCGGUAACCGUUAAGGAGCUGCCUAGGGUAAAACCAGUAACUGGGGCUAAGUCGUAACAAGGUA
rnacentral:rRNA from 1 species